ACAAGGUUAAUUUCUCAUAGUGACCUGUAUUAUGAGGGCAGCAAAACACUAAGGAGGUAGAAAGCGAUGGAUGGGGUAUGGGACAGAGGUGAGAAGGAGCCAACAACACAAUGGACGGAUCGGGCAGGCGAAGGACAGGUUGUCAGUUCCAUGAGGAUGAAGCCAUUGUUUUCCCAGGGCCCAGUGCUAGCCCCGGACACAGCAAGUGCUUGAAUAUGUAUUGAAUGUGUGAAGUUGGAAGACAAGCUUAAAUCCUCGGUUGGGCAUGUGAACCUCUCUGGGCCUCAUUUUCUUCUGUUUAUAAAACAUUGAAGAUAAUACCCCUUCACUGGACUGCUUGGGGCUCCCUGUGCUGGGAGGGAGAGCCAGCUCCACCCCCUGCAGGCGGGUCAUUCACCUCCAGAUCUGAAUGCCGUCUUUGUUUCUCGAGGGGUAUUUAGGAUAAAAUGAUGCGCUGUCAGCUUGGAUGUGAAUUAAACUAACAGUUCAACCAGGAAACCAGGUUGCGAGGAAUGUUGCUGGGAGUCAUUCACAAAAAGGAAUAAGCUGCGACGGAGGUAUUCUCUGG